AUUGAACGCUGGCGGCAGGCCUAACACAUGCAAGUCGAGCGGAUGAAGGGAGCUUGCUCCUGGAUUCAGCGGCGGACGGGUGAGUAAUGCCUAGGAAUCUGCCUGGUAGAGGGGGAUAACGUCCGGAAACGGGCGCUAAUACCGCAUACGUCCUGAUGGAGAAAGUGGGGGAUCUUCGGACCUCACGCUAUCAGAUGAGCCUAGGUCGGAUUAGCUAGUUGGUGGGGUAAAGGCCUACCAAGGCGACGAUCCGGAACUGGUAUGAGAGGAUGAUCAGUCACAGUGGAACUGAGACACGGUCCAGACUCCUACGGGAGGCAGCAGUGGGGAAUAUUGGACAAAGGGCGAAAGCCUGAUACAGCCAUGCCGCGUGUGUGAAGAAGGUCUUCGGAUUGUAAAGCACUUUAAGUUGGGAGGAAGGGCAGUAAGUUAAUACCUUGCUGUUUUGACGUUACCAACAGAAUAAGCACCGGCUAACUUCGUG
rnacentral:rRNA from 1 species